GUCAGCAUGGAGUAAUGGUUUUAGCGUUGGACUAUGACUCUGGAGAUCAGGGUUUGAAUCCCUGCUUGACC